CUAAAUUGCUGUUUAAGUAUUUUAUAAAAGACUUUAUAUUUAAAUUCUUUGUUCUUUUUUUUGUUGAUCUUUUUAUUUAUUAGAAGUCUAUAAUUUUCUUUUUUAGUGAAAUCUUUAAGAGAGCUCUUCAAAGAAAUGAUAAAUUUGGUGCCAGCAGUUGCGGUUAGACUAAAAUUUCUAAAAUAUUUAUUAAGAUUAAUAAUUUGUGGAAUAUGAGCUUAAAAAUUUUAGGUGAAAUUUCUUUUAUAGUUGUAUAAUAUUCUUUAUAUUUUUUAAAAAUAAGAUUUAUGGACUAGGAUUAGAUACCCUAUUACUCUUAAUUUACAAUUUCUUAGCUAAUUAUAUAUAAAAUUUAAAAAUUUGGCGGCUUUAUUAUUUAGAGGAACUUGUCUAUUAAAUUGAUAAACCUCAAUAUUUCCGAUUUUAAGUUUCAUUUUGUAUACCAUCAUUUAAAUAAUUUUUUAAUAAGUAAUUAUUUUAAGUGUCUUAAAAAAGUUAGAUCAAGGUGCAGAUAUACUUAAAAUUAGAUUAGUUACAAUAACGACGGGAGU
rnacentral:rRNA from 1 species